rnacentral:rRNA from 1 species
UGCGCAGGCGGUUCUGCAAGUCAGAUGUGAAAUCCCCGGGCUUAACCUGGGAACUGCGUUUGAAACUACGGAGCUAGAGUGCGGCAGAGGGGGGUGGAAUUCCACGUGUAGCAGUGAAAUGCGUAGAUAUGUGGAGGAACACCGAUGGCGAAGGCAGCCCCCUGGGCCGACACUGACGCUCAGGCACGAAAGCGUGGGGAGCAAACAGGAUUAGAUACCCUGGUAGUCCACGCCCUAAACUAUGUCAACUAGUUGUCGGGAAAGCAAUUUCUUGGUAACGAAGCUAACGCGUGAAGUUGACCGCCUGGGGAUACGGUCGCAAGAUUAAA